GGAUUGCACCAGAUUGGAUGCACCAAGAUUUGAUUUGGAAGUGUUGAUUUAUGCAAUGCAGUUUUUGCACUGCCUCCUGCUGUCCUUUCAGCGUUUGUUUUAUUUUUCUUUUUUGUUAGUCCGCCCAGUUAGGAUCAUUUUUCUGCUUGUAGUACUUGUGAGGGCGGGCUGACAACUUUUUCAUUCAUUUUGUUUGUUUUGUUUUUUGUUUAUUUUGUGGCACUUCCCUGAAUUCUUCUAUCCUGUUUGGCGUGAUCCCCAUGUUGGGUUGACAACGAACGGAUAAAGCUAGCGGGGAAUCCUUCAUGUAUUCAACAAUAAAUAUCAAUAAUUAACUU